CAUUAGUAUUAUAUAUCAAUUUUAUGAAAUUGCAACAGAAGUUUGUUUUCAGUUGAUUACUUGAAAUAACGUCAUGUUUUGAACAUGAUUGUUUUGUUUUUAUUUUUCAGUCCUGGGAUUUUAAUCCAAAGGUGCUUUAUCAAGGAGCUACAUCCCCAGCUCACUGCUAUUUUUUGUUUUAAGACAGGGUCUCACAAAGGUGCCCAAACUAACCUCAAACUUGUGAUCCUCCAGCCUCAGCCUCCUGAGAAGGUGGAAUAUCAAGCAUGUACCUGUCUAUUGAUUGUUUUUUAAAUAUGCUCUUUGGUCGGGUAAAUCUCACAUUCACAAAACUUAAUUUUGUCCUUGGAUGCAGUGAUGCCAUAUUGAACUGGACAUCAGGUAUAACUUUAAAGGCAUCCACUCAUGUGAAUCUGAUCCAAUGUGCUUGGCAGAGGAGUUGUUCUUGAUCCUAGUUGUGAAAUUACAUCCAAGUAAAGUCCAGAGAUCAGCUGAAUUCCUGUAAGCAACUCAUUUUCCAGAAACAAGACUUUGUAGAGUUGCUCCAGCUGAGCAGGCACCACAGAAGGUGCCAGUGGAGGGAGCAUCUGGUGUGAGCAAAAUAACUCCAGUGGUCUUGGAAGGUUUAUGUCACACAUUGAAUCACUCUGGGACACCUGUUACCACACUAGUAACAGUGGUACACUGCAAAUUCCUCAGGCUCCAAGCUGCUGAUGAAUGUGGUGAAGUCUGUCCCUGACCCACUGCCAAUGAACCAGGCUGAGACUCCACUGGGCCAGCUAGAUGCACCAUAGAUGAGAGCCUGGGAGCCUGAUCAGGCUUCUGUUGGUACCAGGCUAAGGAGCUACUAACACUCACACUGGACCUGCAGGUGAGGGUGUCUCUUUCUUCUGGAGACAAGGACAAGGAAGCUGGAGUCUGUGUCAACAGAGUAUGUCCAGUGGCAUCUGAAAUUGAAGAUAAAACAGGAGAGGCACCAUGUAAUCUGGAUCAUACACCUGGUCUUCCCAGUAGAGCCAGAGAGUUUCAUCUGCACUGAGUUUUAAACCCUUUGCUAGCUGAGCAGAAAUGCCAUGACCCAGGACCCAACCACACUGAAAGACUUUUAACAGUGCAGAACCAUCCCAUGGUCCCUCACAGGAGGCAGAGGAGCUGAAUGGGGGCUGCCAUGGUUCCUUCUGGGUCCCAACUGAGGCAGAGCUUCCUAGAGC
rnacentral:lncRNA from 1 species